GAGAGGUUGGGGUAUCAUGGAAUGGUGGUCAGCAAAGGCUUCCUGAAGGAGAUGACACCUGGACUGAGUUUUAAAGGAGAAGGGGGAAAGAAAAUGUAGUGGUCAGCAUGGCAUUCCAGAGGGGGCACAAACAGCAUGCUAUGUGUGGAAGAACUACACACUGCUGAUUGUUGACUUUUGUUUUAAGUAGACCUCCUUUCCUCAGUGCUGCCUGGAGGAUGGGCUUGAAGAGGAUAAGAGCGGGAGCAAGAGACCAACCAGUAAGGCUGUUGCAGUGGUGCAGGAACUUCUUUUUGCUUCUCAAGUUUAACUUCUGACGAUCUUCAAGAUUAACUUAAAUAUGGACAGCUUUUGUGUGAAGCAUGUAGAAAAUCAGAAAUCGUGCAAUUGUACAGCAGGCCUGGGAUGCAAACCUUCAACAGACACAGAUACAUUCCACUUUGGCUUGACAUGGUAGCAUAACUAUUGUGCCAGUUUGUGAUGGGUUUCUUCCUCCAGGCCAUUCUGAAUGAAGAAAGAUAACUUCAACUCUGACAAUGCAGAAGAUCCAUCCACAUCUGCCCAAAGAGACACUGGUUCCCUCAGUGAGAUGGGUUCAA